UCCCAGUUGAUCUGGGCAGUCUGGUUCGAGUGCUCGGAUUGCUCCGGUGGCAACAAACCACAAGGGUUGCGCUCGUUGCGGGACUUAACCCAACAUCUCACGACACGAGCUGACGACAGCCAUGCAGCACCUGUGCAAAGCGCGUAUUGCUACGCUAUCCGGCUUUCACCGGAGACACAAUGCAUGUCAAGCCCAGGUAAGGUUCUUCGCGUUGCAUCGAAUUAAGCCACAUACUCCACCGCUUGUGCGGGUCCCCGUCAAUUUCUUUGAGUUUUAAUCUUGCGACCGUACUUCCCAGGCGGCACGUUUAACGUGUUAACUACGGCACAGAAGGGGUCGAAUCCUCCCACACCAAACGUGCACCGUUUACUGCCAGGACUAC
rnacentral:misc_RNA from 1 species